rnacentral:rRNA from 1 species
UACAGAGGUCUCAAGCGUUGUUCGGAUUCAUUGGGCGUAAAGGGUGCGUAGGCGGCGUCGUAAGUCGGGUGUGAAAUCUCGGGGCUUAACUCCGAAACUGCAUUCGAUACUGCCGUGCUUGAGGACUGGAGAGGAGACUGGAAUUUACGGUGUAGCGGUGAAAUGCGUAGAUAUCGUAAGGAAGACCAGUGGCGAAGGCGGGUCUCUGGGCCGAUACUGACGUGAGGAGCGAAAGCGUGGGGAGCGAACAGG